GUCUUUUUGAUUUUAAUUUAAAGUCAAAUCUGCCCACUGAUUUAUAUUAAAGGGCUGCAGUAUAUUGACUGUACAAAGGUAGCAUAAUAAAUAGUCUUUUAAUUGGAGACUUGUAUGAAAGAUUUGAUGAGAUAUAAACUGUCUCUUUUUUAUAUUUAGAAUUUAAUUUUUUAGUAAAAAAGCUAAAAUUAAUUUAAAAGACGAGAAGACCCUAUAGAGUUUUAUAAUUAGUUUAUUUAUAUAUUUAUAUUUAUAAUUUAAAAUUUGAUUAAUUUAAUUAUUUUGUUGGGGUGAUAGAAAAAUAUAUUAAACUUUUUUUAAUAAAAUUACAUUAAUUAAUGAAUAAAUGAUCCAUAAAUUAUGAUUAAAAGAAAAAAUUACCUUAGGGAUAACAGCGUAAUUUUUUUUUUUAGUUCUUAUAGGAAAAAGAGUUUGCGACCUCGAUGUUGGAUUAAGAUAAAAUUUAAAUGUAGAAGUUUAAAAUUUUUGAUCUGUUCGAUCAUUAAAAUCUUACA
rnacentral:rRNA from 1 species